UCUCUCUCUCUCUCGUCAGUUUCACUCCAGCAAUUAGAGUGCUAGGAGCGGCGCAAUCAAGGCUCAAGGACAGACAACCAUACAAAAUUUGAAGAGGUUCUUUCGAAUUACAUCUUUUGAGGCGGGGUUUACUUUAAUCUGUUAAGGAGUCGACGAGCAAGGUAAGCACAGAUGAGCUCAUAUUCUCAUACUUAUACUAUUUUGUGCAAAUUAUAAUAUUUUGCUUUAUAUACUACUGGAAGAGUUUGUGGUGGGCUGUGACCCAAUGAUUUAGUAUUUGAAUAUGCGAGUAGUUGAGGGCUGUGACCUAAUGGUGACUAAUGGGCUUUGAUCCAAUAGUUGAUGUUUAUAUAUGUGCCAUGCUUUGUGUUAAAUGGCUACUUAGGCAUGCCUAUAUUUUGUUUGAAAUAUAUAUAGAGAAAGAGUUUUUGUCUUGUUUUAAUUAUUCAUUGGCUUUGAUUUGCUUUAAUAUAGAUAAAUAUUUAUUAGAAGUAAGAUUUUGUAAUGUUGCUCAUUUUAAAAUUGUGAGAACGUUACAGUUUGGUAUCAGAGCUGAACCUCUCACAGUACGGUGUGGUUCAAGGACAAACCAAGCGGAAGCUGGUGGGCCAGUGACUCCCGGGGACGAAGUGCGGAGUGAUUGUCGGUGCAAAAGAGGCACGGACAAGGAGCGGCUCCGAUUAAGACUUCCAAGCGAAGGGGCGCAGGGAUGAACCGAAACACACCAGAACGAGAGGGAUUCUGAGAAUAUGCAGGUAUGGGACUGCAUAUUCCAGGAGAGCUUAAAUGAUUUGAUAUGUGCUAUUCAUAUCAACA